AAACAUGUCUUUUUGAUUUGUAUUUAAAGUCUGACCUGCCCACUGAAUAAUUUUGAAUGGCCGCAGUAUUUUGACUGUGCAAAGGUAGCAUAAUCAUUAGUCUUUUAAUUGAAGGCUUGUAUGAAUGGUUGGACGAAGUAUAAGCUGUUUCAUAUGAAUUUAUUAUAGAAUUUUAUAUUUUAGUUAAAAAGCUAAAAUGUAUUUAAAAGACGAGAAGACCCUAUAAAUCUUUAUAUUUAUUAUUAUUUAAAUUUUUUGGAUUGAUUUUAUUUUUAUAAUAAUAAAUAUUUUGUUGGGGUGAUGUUAAAAUUUAAUAAACUUUUAAUUUUUUUUUUAUCAUUAAUUUAUGAAUUGUUGAUCCAAUAAUAUUGAUUAUAAGAUUAAGUUACUUUAGGGAUAACAGCGUAAUUUUUUUUGAGAGUUCAUAUCGACAAAAAAGUUUGCGACCUCGAUGUUGGAUUAAGGUAUAAUUUUGGGUGCAG
rnacentral:rRNA from 1 species